UAGGGAAUCUUCCGCAAUGGGCGAAAGCCUGACGGAGCAACGCCGCGUGAGUGAUGAAGGUCUUCGGAUCGUAAAACUCUGUUAUUAGGGAAGAACAAAUGUGUAAGUAACUAUGCACGUCUUGACGGUACCUAAUCAGAAAGCCACGGCUAACUACGUGCCAGCAGCCGCGGUAAUACGUAGGUGGCAAGCGUUAUCCGGAAUUAUUGGGCGUAAAGCGCGCGUAGGCGGUUUUUUAAGUCUGAUGUGAAAGCCCACGGCUCAACCGUGGAGGGUCAUUUGAAACUGGAAAACUUGAGUGCAGAAGAGGAAAGUGGAAUUCCAUGUGUAGCAGUGAAAUGCGCAGAGAUAUGGAGGAACACCAGUGGCGAAGGCGACUUUCUGGUCUGUAACUGACGCUGAUGUGCGAAAGCGUGGAGAUCAAACAGG
rnacentral:rRNA from 1 species